AACUUAGCAGAGAUGCUUUGGUGCCUUCGGGAACUCUGAGACAGGUGCUGCAUGGCUGUCGUCAGCUCGUGUUGUGAAUGUUGGUUAAGUCCCGCAACGAGCGCAACCCCUAUCCUUUGUUGCCAGCGAUUCGGUCGGGAACUCAAAGGAGACUGCCGGUGAUAAACCGGAGGAAGGUGGGGAUGACGUCAAGUCAUCAUGGCCCUUACGAGUAGGGCUACACACGUGCUACAAUGGCGCAUACAAAGAGAAGCGACCUCGCGAGAGCAAGCGGACCUCAUAAAGUGCGUCGUAGUCCGGAUUGGAGUCUGCAACUCGACUCCAUGAAGUCGGAAUCGCUAGUAAUCGUAGAUCAGAAUGCUACGGUGAAUACGUUCCCGGGCCUUGUACACACCGCCCGUCACACCAUGGGAGUGGGUUGCAAAAGAAGUAGAUAGCUUAACCUUCGGGAGGGCGUUUACCACUUUGUGAUUCAUGACUGGGGUGAAGUCGUAACAAGGUAGGCGUAGCGAG
rnacentral:rRNA from 1 species